AAUCGCGGGCGCUUGGGCCGCCAUCUUAGAUGGCGGGAGUAAGAGGAAAACGAUUGUGAGGCGGGAACGGCUUUCUGCUGCCUUUUUUGGGCCCCGAAAAGGGUCAGCUGGCCGGGCUUUGGGGCGCGUGCCCUGAGGCGCGGAGCGCGUUUGCUACGAUGCGGGGGCUGCUCGGGGCUCCGUCCCCUGGGCUGGGGACGCGCCGAAUGUGACCGCCUCCCGCUCCCUCACCCGCCGCGGGGAGGAGGAGCGGGCGAGAAGCUGCCGCCGAACGACAGGACGUUGGGGCGGCCUGGCUCCCUCAGGUUUAAGAAUUGUUUAAGCUGCAUCAAUGGAGCACAUACAGGGAGCUUGGAAGACGAUCAGCAAUGGUUUUGGAUUCAAAGAUGCCGUGUUUGAUGGCUCCAGCUGCAUCUCUCCUACAAUAGUUCAGCAGUUUGGCUAUCAGCGCCGGGCAUCAGAUGAUGGCAAACUCACAGAUCCUUCUAAGACAAGCAACACUAUCCGUGUUUUCUUGCCGAACAAGCAAAGAACAGUGGUCAAUGUGCGAAAUGGAAUGAGCUUGCAUGACUGCCUUAUGAAAGCACUCAAGGUGAGGGGCCUGCAACCAGAGUGCUGUGCAGUGUUCAGACUUCUCCACGAACACAAAGGUAAAAAAGCACGCUUAGAUUGGAAUACUGAUGCUGCGUCUUUGAUUGGAGAAGAACUUCAAGUAGAUUUCCUGGAUCAUGUUCCCCUCACAACACACAACUUUGCUCGGAAGACGUUCCUGAAGCUUGCCUUCUGUGACAUCUGUCAGAAAUUCCUGCUCAAUGGAUUUCGAUGUCAGACUUGUGGCUACAAAUUUCAUGAGCACUGUAGCACCAAAGUACCUACUAUGUGUGUGGACUGGAGUAACAUCAGACAACUCUUAUUGUUUCCAAAUUCCACUAUUGGUGAUAGUGGAGUCCCAGCACUACCUUCUUUGACUAUGCGUCGUAUGCGAGAGUCUGUUUCCAGGAUGCCUGUUAGUUCUCAGCACAGAUAUUCUACACCUCACGCCUUCACCUUUAACACCUCCAGUCCCUCAUCUGAAGGUUCCCUCUCCCAGAGGCAGAGGUCGACAUCCACACCUAAUGUCCACAUGGUCAGCACCACCCUGCCUGUGGACAGCAGGAUGAUUGAGGAUGCAAUUCGAAGUCACAGCGAAUCAGCCUCACCUUCAGCCCUGUCCAGUAGCCCCAACAAUCUGAGCCCAACAGGCUGGUCACAGCCGAAAACCCCCGUGCCAGCACAAAGAGAGCGGGCACCAGUAUCUGGGACCCAGGAGAAAAACAAAAUUAGGCCUCGUGGACAGAGAGAUUCAAGCUAUUAUUGGGAAAUAGAAGCCAGUGAAGUGAUGCUGUCCACUCGGAUUGGGUCAGGCUCUUUUGGAACUGUUUAUAAGGGUAAAUGGCACGGAUUAGCUGUGGGUGUCCCUAUCAAACAGGGAAGGCAUUGACUUAAUUCUUGAAUCUAUGUGGAAUAUUAAUGUUCUGAUUUUAAUGGAAACACUUUGUCACUUGGAAGAAAGGAGAUGUUGCAGUAAAGAUCCUAAAGGUUGUCGACCCAACCCCAGAGCAAUUCCAGGCCUUCAGGAAUGAGGUGGCUGUUCUGCGCAAAACACGGCAUGUGAACAUUCUGCUUUUCAUGGGGUACAUGACAAAGGACAACCUGGCAAUUGUGACCCAGUGGUGCGAGGGCAGCAGCCUCUACAAACACCUGCAUGUCCAGGAGACCAAGUUUCAGAUGUUCCAGCUAAUUGACAUUGCCCGGCAGACGGCUCAGGGAAUGGACUAUUUGCAUGCAAAGAACAUCAUCCAUAGAGACAUGAAAUCCAACAAUAUAUUUCUCCAUGAAGGCUUAACAGUGAAAAUUGGAGAUUUUGGUUUGGCAACAGUAAAGUCACGCUGGAGUGGUUCUCAGCAGGUUGAACAACCUACUGGCUCUGUCCUCUGGAUGGCCCCAGAGGUGAUCCGAAUGCAGGAUAACAACCCAUUCAGUUUCCAGUCGGAUGUCUACUCCUAUGGCAUCGUAUUGUAUGAACUGAUGACGGGGGAGCUUCCUUAUUCUCACAUCAACAACCGAGAUCAGAUCAUCUUCAUGGUGGGCCGAGGAUAUGCCUCCCCAGAUCUUAGUAAGCUAUAUAAGAACUGCCCCAAAGCAAUGAAGAGGCUGGUAGCUGACUGUGUGAAGAAAGUAAAGGAAGAGAGGCCUCUUUUUCCCCAGAUCCUGUCUUCCAUUGAGCUGCUCCAACACUCUCUACCGAAGAUCAACCGGAGCGCUUCCGAGCCAUCCUUGCAUCGGGCAGCCCACACUGAGGAUAUCAAUGCUUGCACGCUGACCACGUCCCCGAGGCUGCCUGUCUUCUAGUUGACUUUGCACCUGUCUUCAGGCUGCCAGGGGAGGAGGAGAAGCCAGCAGGCACCACUUUUCUGCUCCCUUUCUCCAGAGGCAGAACACAUGUUUUCAGAGAAGCUGCUGCUAAGGACCUUCUAGACUGCUCACAGGGCCUUAACUUCAUGUUGCCUUCUUUUCUAUCCCUUUGGGCCCUGGGAGAAGGAAGCCAUUUGCAGUGCUGGUGUGUCCUGCUCCCUCCCCACAUUCCCCAUGCUCAAGGCCCAGCCUUCUGUAGAUGCGCAAGUGGAUGUUGAUGGUAGUACAAAAAGCAGGGGCCCAGCCCCAGCUGUUGGCUACAUGAGUAUUUAGAGGAAGUAAGGUAGCAGGCAGUCCAGCCCUGAUGUGGAGACACAUGGGAUUUUGGAAAUCAGCUUCUGGAGGAAUGCAUGUCACAGGCGGGACUUUCUUCAGAGAGUGGUGCAGCGCCAGACAUUUUGCACAUAAGGCACCAAACAGCCCAGGACUGCCGAGACUCUGGCCGCCCGAAGGAGCCUGCUUUGGUACUAUGGAACUUUUCUUAGGGGACACGUCCUCCUUUCACAGCUUCUAAGGUGUCCAGUGCAUUGGGAUGGUUUUCCAGGCAAGGCACUCGGCCAAUCCGCAUCUCAGCCCUCUCAGGGAGCAGUCUUCCAUCAUGCUGAAUUUUGUCUUCCAGGAGCUGCCCCUAUGGGGCGGGGCCGCAGGGCCAGCCUUGUUUCUCUAACAAACAAACAAACAAACAGCCUUGUUUCUCUAGUCACAUCAUGUGUAUACAAGGAAGCCAGGAAUACAGGUUUUCUUGAUGAUUUGGGUUUUAAUUUUGUUUUUAUUGCACCUGACAAAAUACAGUUAUCUGAUGGUCCCUCAAUUAUGUUAUUUUAAUAAAAUAAAUUAAAUUUAGGUGUAA